rnacentral:rRNA from 1 species
ACGAACGCUGGCGGCGUGCUUAACACAUGCAAGUCGAACGGUGAAGCGCCUUCCUUUUUGGUGGGUGUGGAUGAGUGGCGAACGGGUGAGUAACACGUGAGUAACCUGCCCCCUUCUUCUGGAUAACCGCAUGAAAGUGUGGCUAAUACGGGAUAUUCUGGGUCUGUCGCAUGAUGGGUCUGGGAAAGAUAUUGUUUCGGUGGGGGAUGGGCUCGCGGCCUAUCAGCUUGUUGGUGGGGUGAUGGCCUACCAAGGCGGUGACGGGUAGCCGGCCUGAGAGGGUGGACGGUCACACUGGGACUGAGACACGGCCCAGACUCCGACGGGAGGCAGCAGUGGGGAAUAUUGCACAAUGGGCGCAAGCCUGAUGCAGCGACGCCGCGUGAGGGAUGGAGGCCUUCGGGUUGUGAACCUCUUUCGCCAGUGAAGCAGGCCUGCCUCGUUUGUGGGUGGGUUGACGGUAGCUGGAUAAGAAGCGCCGGCUAACUACGUG